UUAAUCGAAGCCAAAAACAGAGGCGUCUCAUUGUUAAUGAGACUAAUGAAUUAUUUUCCGAUUAAA
rnacentral:tRNA from 1 species